AUUGAACGCUGGCGGCAGGCUUAACACAUGCAAGUCGAGCGGGGUGAUGGUGCUUGCACUAUCACUUAGUGGCGGACGGGUGAGUAAUGCUUAGGAAUCUGCCUAUUAGUGGGGGACAACAUCUCGUAAGGGAUGCUAAUACCGCAUACGUCCUACGGGAGAAAGCAGGGGAUCACUUGUGACCUUGCGCUAAUAGAUGAGCCUAAGUCGGAUUAGCUAGUUGGUGGGGUAAAGGCCUACCAAGGCGACGAUCUGUAGCGGGUCUGAGAGGAUGAUCCGCCUCACUGGGACUGAGACACGGCCCAGACUCAGACAUGAGGCAGCAGUGGGGAAUAUUGGACAAUGGGGGGAACCCUGAUCCAGCCAUGCCGCGUGUGUGAGGAAGGCCUUAUGGUUGUAAAGCACUUUAAGCGAGGAGGAGGCUCUUUUGGUUAAUACCCAAGAUGAGUGGACGUUACUCGCAGAAUAAGCACCGGCUAACUCUGUGCCAGCCGCCGCGGUAA
rnacentral:rRNA from 1 species